AUGAGCAAAGGAAAGGCCAAAGGUUUUCGUGAAGAUGAGCACGAUACCCUAUGGUUUGAGGACCGAAUCUAUGUGCCCAAUAACCAGGAGAUCAGGAAGUUAAUACUUCAAGGGGCCCAUGACUCACCAUACUCGAUACACCCCGGAAACACCAAGAUGUAUUUGGAUUUGAAGGAACGUUUCUGGUGGACCGGUAUGAAGAAGGAUAUUGCCGAGUAUGUAGCUGUAUGUGAUGUAUGUCAGCGCGUGAAGGCAGAGCAUCAGAAGACAGUAGGACUGUUGCAGCCUAUGCCGAUACCCGAAUGGAAGUGGGAUAAAUUGGGCAUGGACGUUAUCACCGGAUUGCCCAGGACCAAAGCGGGAUAUGAUCCCAUAUGGGUAGUAGUUGAUCGCUUCACCAAAGUAGCUCACCUCAUCCCAGUGAAAACCACCUAUACAAGUGCAAAAUUGGCCAAGAUAUAUAUGUCCAGGAUAGUAUGUCUGCAUGGAGUUCCGAGGACCAUUGUAUCAGAUCGAGGAACACAGUUUACCUCAAAGUUUUGGCACCAGUUGCACUAG
rnacentral:rRNA from 1 species